UACGGGAGGCAGCAGUGGGGAAUAUUGCACAAUGGGCGAAAGCCUGAUGCAGCUAUGCCGCGUGUAUGAAGAAGGCCUUAGGGUUGUAAAGUACUUUCAUCGGGGAGGAAAAAACAAACUAAUAAUUUUAUUUCUUGACGUUCCCGAAAAAGAAGCACCGGCUAACUCCGUGCCAGCAGCCGCGGUAAUACGGAGGGUGCUAGCGUUAAUCAGAAUUACUGGGCGUAAAGAGCACGUAGGUGGUUUUUUUAAGUCAGAUGUGAAAUCCCUGGGCUUAACCUAGGAACUGCAUUUUGAAACUGAAAUACUAGAGUAUCGUAGAGGGAGGUAGAAUUCUAGGUGUAGCGGUGAAAUGCGUAGAUAUCUGGAGGAAUACCUGUGGCGAAAGCGGCCUCCUAAACGAAUACUGACACUGAGGUGCGAAAGCGUGGGGAGCAAACAGGGAUUAGAUACC
rnacentral:rRNA from 1 species